GGACACGUGAAAUCCUGUCUGAAGAUGGGGGGACCAUCCUCCAAGGCUAAAUACUCGUAAUCGACCGAUAGUGAACUAGUACCGUGAGGGAAAGGCGAAAAGAACCCCGGGAGGGGAGUGAAAUAGAUCCUGAAACCGCAUGCAUACAAACAGUGGGAGCCUCGCAAGGGGUGACUGCGUACCUUUUGUAUAAUGGGUCAGCGACUUACGUUCUGUAGCGAGCUUAACCGAAUAGGGGAGGCGUAGCGAAAGCGAGUCUGAUAAGGGCGCUUUAGUUGCAGGGCGUAGACCCGAAACCAGAUGAUCUAUCCAUGGCCAGGAUGAAGGUGCCGUAACAGGUACUGGAGGUCCGAACCCACUAAUGUUGAAAAAUUAGGGGAUGAGCUGUGGAUAGGGGUGAAAAGGCUAAACAAAUCUGGAAAUAGCUGGUUCUCCCCGAAAGCUAUUUAGGUAGCGCCUCAUGUAUCACUCGCGGGGGUAGAGCACUGUAAUGGUUG
rnacentral:rRNA from 1 species